rnacentral:tRNA from 1 species
UAAGGAUGAAAUCAUAGAGAUAUUUCAUUUACAAUGAAAAUUUGCGUUUUGCCGUCCUUAU